GGCAGCAGUCGGGAAUUUUGGGCAAUGGGCGAAAGCCUGACCCAGCAACGCCGCGUGAAGGAUGAAGUAUUUCGGUAUGUAAACUUCGAAAGAAUGGGAAGAAUAAAUGACGGUACCAUUUAUAAGGUCCGGCUAACUACGUGCCAGCAGCCGCGGUAAAACGUAGGGACCAAGCGUUGUUCGGAUUUACUGGGCGUAAAGGGCGCGUAGGCGGCAAAUCAAGUCAGCUGUGAAAUCUCCGAGCUUAACUCGGAACGGUCAGCUGAUACUGUUUUGCUAGAGUGCAGAAGGGGCAAUCGGAAUUCUUGGUGUAGCGGUGAAAUGCGUAGAUAUCAAGAGGAACACCUGAGGUGAAGACGGGUUGCUGGGCUGACACUGACGCUGAGGCGCGAAAGCUAGGGUAGCAAACGGGAUUAGAUACCCCGGUAGUCCUAGCCCUAAACGAUGAAUACUUGGUGUCUGGAGUAAUUUAAUUCUCCGGGUGCCGUCGCUAACGUUUUAAGUAUUCCGCCUGGGGAGUACGCACGCAAGUGUGAAACUCAAAGGAAU
rnacentral:rRNA from 1 species